CCCAUGUCCCCAUGUCCCCAUGUCCCCAUGUCCCCAUGUCCCCAUGUCCCCAUGUCCCCAGUCCCAUCUCAGUUUGGGGACACCUGUCCCCAAGUUCCCAUGUCCCCAUGUCCCCAGUUCCAUCCCUGUUUAGGGUCCCAUGUCCCAGUGUCCCCAUGUCCCCAUGUCCCCAUUCCCAUCCCAGUUUGGGUUUCCAGUGUCCCUGCGUCCCCAUGUCCGCAGCCCCAUCCCAGUUUGGGGACCCAUGCCCCAGUGUCCCCCUGUCCCCACGUCCCCAUGUCCCCGGUCCCAUCCCAGUUUGGGGACUCACAUCCCCAUGUCCCCAUCCCAAUUUUAGGACCAUUUCCCCACAUCACCACGGUCCCCGUGUCCCCAUCCCAUCCCAGUAUGGAGAACCAUGUCCCCGUGUCCCCAUGUCCCUAUUCCGAACCAAUUUGGGGUCCCCACGUCCCCAAAUCCCCAUGUCCCCGUGUCCCCACAUCCCCACCCCAUCCCAGUUCAGGGACCCACCUCCCCAUAUCCCAAACCAGUUUGGAGACCGGUCACCUACCGAUCCCGUGGGGACGGAGCAGGGCGAGCAGGACGAGCAGGACGCCGACGGUCCUGGGGGCACCCAUGGGUGCUGCCGGGCGCACUGGGAGCACUGGGAGCACUGGGAGUGCCGGUUUUAUGGCCGGGUGGGACGUGCCACCGCCGCCCGCGCUUUCGACCCAACCCGGGUGCAGCCGCCCACGGUCGGGUGGGGACCAGUUCCCACUGGGAAUGGGUUGGUCCCAUUGGGGACAUACUGGUCCCACUGUGGUCCUAUUGGGGUCAUACUGGUCCCAUUGGGGUCAUCUUUGCCCCGCCAUGGUCCUAUUAGGGUUAUACUGGUCCCAUUGGGGUCAUCUUUGCCCCGCUGUGGUCCUACUGGGGUUAUACUGGUCCCACUGGGGACAUACUGGUCCCACUGUGGUCCUACUGGGGUCAUAUUCAUCCCAUUGGGGACGCACUGGUGCCACUGUGGUCCUAUUGGGGUCAUACUGGUCCCAUUGGGGUCAUCUUUGCCCCGCUGUGGUCCUACUGGGGUCAUANGGUCCUACUGGGGUCAUAUUCAUCCCAUUGGGGACGCACUGGUGCCACUGUGGUCCUAUUGGGGUCAUACUGGUCCCAUUGGGGUCAUCUUUGCCCCGCUGUGGUCCUACUGGGGUCAUACUGGUCCCAUUGGGGACAUACUGGUCCACUGUGGUCCUAUUGGGGUUAUACUGGUCCCAUUGGGGUCAUACUGCUCCCAUUGGGAACAUACUGGUCCCACCGUGGUCCUAUUGGGGUUAUACUGGUCCCAUUGGGGACAUACUGGUCCCACUGUGGUCCUAUUGGGGUUAUACUGGUCCCACUGGGGACAUACUGGUCCCACUGUGGUCCUAUUGGGGUCAUAUUGGUCCUAUUGGGGUCAUACUGAUCCCACCAUGGUCCUAUUGGGGUCAUACUGGUCCCAUUGGGGAUAUACUGGUCCCACUGUGGUCCUAUUGGGGACAUACUGGUCCCAUUGGGGACAUACUGGUCCCAUUGGGGAUGUCCUGGUCCCACUGGGAACAAAUUGGGAACAUACUGGUCUCACCGGGGACGUACUGGUCCCAUUAGGGAUGUAUUGGUCCCAUUAGGGACAUACUGGUCCCAUUGGGGUCCUACUGGGGACACCCUGGUUCUACUGGGGACAUAUUCAUCCCAUUGGGGUCAAACUGGUUCUUACCAUUCCUUAUGGUUCCAUACUGGUCUCCAUGGGUCCCCAACUGGUUCCUAUGGGUCCGUACUGAUCCCUGUGGGUCCGUACUGGUUCCUAUGGGCCCAUACUGGUCCCUACUGGUCCACACCACCCCCACGUACCCACUCCCCCCGGUGUCCCCCUCCCUGUCCCUCCGCCCUAGGCCAGUUUCGGUGCCACCUCUUCGAUGUCACCCGUCCCCACCCUGGGUGGCCCCGAUGUCCCCGUGGGCGGCCCAGGCCCUGCCCCAGCGUUCCUGACCCAUUCCCAGCGCCACUGUCCCCAUUCUGUCCCCAAGGUCCUCAUUCAGUCCCCAGUGUCCCCAUUCCCACGAGUGUCCCCAUCCAAUGUCCCCAAAGUCCCCAUUCAAGUGUCCCCAUCUCUGUGCCUGUGGUUGUCCCCAUCCGAUGUCCCCUAAGUGUCCCCAUCCCUGUCCUUGUGGAUGUCCCCAUCCUGUCCCCAGUGCCACCAUUCGAAUAUCCCCAAUGUCCCCAUCCAGAUGUCCCCAAAGAUCCCAACCAAAUGUCCCCAGUGAGCCCUAUCCACAUGUCCCCUGUGUCCCCAUCCCUGUCCCUGUGGUUGUCCCCAUCCAAAUGUCCCCAAUGGCCCCAUCCCCAGUGUCCCCAUCCCCAAUGUCCCCACCUCUGUCCUUGUGAUUGUCCCCAUCCCCAGUGUCCCCACCUCUGUCCUUGUGGUUGUCCCCAUCCCCAUUGUCCCCAUCCCAGUGUCCCCAAUGUCCCCAUCCCCAAGCGUGGGCGCAGACUGGCCCGACCAGCUCAGCCGGCGCCGUGACGCGUGGGGACACGUGGGGACGUGCUGGGACACGUGUGGCCAUGGGGACACGUUUGGUGACACGUGUGGCCAUGGGGACAGGGACGAGGACGGUGCCACGCUCCAAG
ensembl:lncRNA